rnacentral:rRNA from 1 species
CCUACGAGAGGCAGCAGUGGGGGAUAUUGCACAAUGGGGGGAACCCUGAUGCAGCGACGCCGCGUGGGUGAAGGAGUGCUUCGGCAUGUAAAGCCCUAUCGGCAGGGAAGAAGCAAGACGGUACCUGACUAAGAAGCCCCGGCUAACUACGUGCCAGCAGCCGCGGUAAUACGUAGGGGGCGAGCGUUAUCCGGAUUCACUGGGUGUAAGGGGAGCGUAGACGGCCAUGCAAGCCAGGGGUGAAAGCCCGGGGCCCAACCCCGGGACUGCCCUUGGAACUGCAUGGCUGGAGUGCGGGAGGGGCAGGCGGAAUUCCUGGUGUAGCGGUGAAAUGCGUAGAUAUCAGGAGGAACACCGGCGGCGAAGGCGGCCUGCUGGACCGCGACUGACGUUGAGGCUCGAAAGCGUGGGGAGCGAACAGGAUUAGAUACCCCUGUAGUC